GGGAGGUGCCAGAGUGGUUAAAUGGGGCGGACUGUAAAUCCGUUGCUUCACAGCUACGUAGGUUCGAAUCCUACCCUCCCC
rnacentral:ncRNA from 12 species